rnacentral:ncRNA from 1 species
ACAGUACAAACUGAUCAGGCAGUACCGAUAAGGUAUGUAGCCGGGCUGUGAAUACAGCAGCAGAAUGAGCAUACGGCACAUCUGCGGGACAGU